UAGGGAAUCUUCCACAAUGGACGCAAGUCUGAUGGAGCAACGCCGCGUGAGUGAAGAAGGUUUUCGGACCGUAAAGCUCUGUUGUUGGUGAAGAAGGAUAGAGGUAGUAACUGGCCUUUAUUUGACGGUAAUCAACCAGAAAGUCACGGCUAACUACGUGCCAGCAGCCGCGGUAAUACGUAGGUGGCAAGCGUUGUCCGGAUUUAUUGGGCGUAAAGCGAGCGCAGGCGGAAGAAUAAGUCUGAUGUGAAAGCCCUCGGCUUAACCGAGGAAUUGCAUCGGAAACUGUUUUCUUGAGUGCAGAAGAGGAGAGUAGAACUCCAUGUGUAGCGGUGGAAUGCGUAGAUAUAUGGAAGAAUACCAGUGGCGAAGGCGGCUCUCUGGUCUGCAACUGACGCUGAGGCUCGAAAGCAUGGGUAGCGAACAGGAUUAGAUACCCUGGUGGUCCAUGCCGUAAACGAUGAGUGCUAAGUGUUGGGAGGCUUCCGCCUCUCAGUGCUGCAGCUAACGCAUUAAGCACUCCGCCUGGGGGAGUACGACCGCAAGGUUGAAAC
rnacentral:rRNA from 1 species